GGCAUGCUUCAUGCUGCGCGCACAGGAUGACGUAAUAUCGGAUGAUCGUGCACGUCACGCCUCGACGCCGUCUAUGUAAAAUACGUGGAGCAUACACACGUGUGAGUAUAACUCAUCGAUUAGUUAUCUCGUGUCAACUUUUCUGGAGAGUAGACGCGUCGGAGAGGAACGUUGCGGCAUUCCCCGUCUAAUCAUUUGUUCGUAACGAAGAAGACGGUUACAAAAAAAUGAUGGUCACCGAUUUAAAAGAUGCAUGAAAGCGGGCAAUCUCGUCGAAUGAAACGCUCGGUUUACAAAGCUGACAUUUAUUUCGAUCAAUAAUAACUUUAAAAUAAUCUCUAUACAAUAAUAAUAUUAUCAUCAGAGCUAUAAUUUAUUUCAUAUAAGUUUUCCAGUAAUUUUUAUUUAUUUAUUUUUUCUUUUCAUUUCAGCUCAUAUUUUUUUCCUGCAAAGAACUUGGUAAUUCGUUCGCGAUAGGUACAAACAAAAGUGAUUAAUUUUUUUGCUCGAUAAUCGGAUAUUUCGCAAGUCGAACCGAAGCACUUAAAAAUUUUUUUUUUUUUGAAAAAUAAAAGAAAAUAAUUGCAGGUGCAAACGACUAAAAAAUUAUCAGCAUGGUUUUAGUCAUCUCGCGAUGAAUGGACCGAGAACGAGAUUUACACUCUACUUUAUUUAGUGGGCUUCUCAAUGCUACUUUUAUUAUUCGUAAUAUGUACAAAGAAAUAUUCUCAUAAAGAACCAUAUUUCGUUCGUCUCUUU
rnacentral:lncRNA from 1 species